AAGUGUUGGAAAAAUGGGCGUAGCAGGCGGGAUUAUUCUAGAAGCCCAGACAGGCUACAAAGCAGUACCUAUACAAGCAAACAAGCAAGUGUACGGAGGAAGCAUGAUGAUCGAGAAGCGUAUAAAGAAGAUUUUUCUCACAGCUCCAGUAGAAAACACCAAAAAUCACAUGAUCGUAAGAGUCCUCACAGAGAGAGAAUUGAGCGUAAUUUAGACCCUGGAAAACGGAGGCGAAGGGAAACAUACCAGGAUCAUAGACGCAAUGAGUUCGAGGACAGAUAUAAUCCUUCAGAAUCUCAUGAUAUCUACGAAGAUAACGUCUAACUGUCAUGUAGAAGUGAAACAAACAGGUUUCUGCAGUUUCAUCUACAUCUGUAUCCUCCUCUGUAUCCUUAAAAUGAUUAUUCUAUUAUUGCUUAUAGUUAAGUUUCUUUUCAUUGUUA